AGAGAUUUCAUUUAUUUUUUCCUUUUGGAGAAUACAAGAAAAAGAAAUAGCUAAUAUUUUUAGAGAGAAGUCUUUAGACAAGAUCAAGAAGACCAUUCAUCCUAACGACUAUGGUCUCCGACGAGGCAUGUCAUCACGCCGACACCAUCAAGCGGAUGCCGUCAUCCAACACUAUUUUCCUACAACGUUUCUCCGUGAUAUUUUUCCGACAACGUCGACUGAAGUUAUCAUUCUAGAGAGCUAUUAUUAUGUGUCCUCAUCCUAUGCUCUAUAUCUUGUCGUCCGCCUACCUCAUCGUUCCAGUGUGAUAUCAAUCAUAAUCUCAACUUAAGCACUUGGAGUUAAAUCCAAAAAACAUAUGAUGAACUAUUUAUGGUUUGAUCUCUUUUAUAAAAUAUGUAGGCAACCUUAUCACAAGGUGCAGCUAUAAACACA
rnacentral:lncRNA from 1 species